GUAAGAAGAAAAGGAGUAUGUGAGAAAUUUCUCUUCUCUUUCUUUUUCUUUUUUUUAUUCGAGUAGGAUGUAUUUUACCUACUCGCGCGCAUCGAAUUUGUAAGGGGUGGGCGUUAAACUAUGCAAUGUAACAUAUAGGUACAUACAUGUAUACAUACAUACAUACACGUGUAUAUUUAUAUAGAACUUUUAUAUACAUGAUACUUUAUAUAUAUAUGGUAUAUAUACACGUGUAUAUUGUAUAUAGAGUUGUAUAUACCUUAAAAACACGUAUUAUUAGACUUAAAUGCACGGCUCACAUGGUUACAUAUAUAUACACAUACAUAUACGCAUCCCCUGGAAGUUAUCCGAGAUGAGGUAGUGUGUGUGUGGAAAGCAACAGAGAACACAAAUAGAAUCGUUCGCUAUCGUUCGGUUACUCCCGGCCAACGAUCGGGAGUCGAAAACGCGCGACACGAGGAAGUCGAAUGUAUUUGAAGUGCGCAGCGGUUUAAGACGUGAAGUUUUAAGAGGUUAUGUUCGUGAUCGUGUGAGUGAGACAGAGAUAGACGAUGGUUUAUUAUCAUCAUCGUCAAUUUAUGGCGCGUGUUAUGCGCCUUGUAUUUGUCAUCGUCCUCGUCGUCGUCCUAGACGUCGUCGUCGUCGUCGUCGUCAGCAGUCAGAAAACGGUGGACGAUAAUAGAUCAUUGAGGACAAAGAUUAUGUCAAUGACGUGACUCGAUUCUUUUUUUUUUUUUUUUUUAAGAGAAACAAAUAUAUUGAAAGAGAGACAGAGAUA